UCUCCGUAGGUGAACCUGCGGAGGGAUCAUUACAGAGUUCAUGCCCUACCGGGUAGAUCUCCCACCCUAUGUUAUUAUUACUUUGUUGCUUCGGCGGGCCGUUAGGCUCCGGCCCGACUACCGGCCCCGGCUGGUAAGCGCCCGCCAGAGGACCCAAAACCCUGAAUAUUAGCAUCGUCUGAGUACUAUAUAAUAGUUAAAACUUUCAACAACGGAUCUCUUGGUUCUG
rnacentral:misc_RNA from 1 species